AACAUACUUCCUCCGUUCGAAAAUACUUGUCCUAGAAAUGGAUUAGACUUAUUUUAGUUAUAGAUACUUAAAUUUUAUUCAUUUGUAGUACAAGUAUUUCCGGACAGAGGAAGUAUAUG
rnacentral:pre_miRNA from 1 species